CGAAUUAGUAGCUCUAAACGCAGUGUUGGAGGAGGACGUGUUGCUAUGUGGUCAACCAGUGGGGGCAGGAAAUGGAGGAAAGUCACUCCAUAAAAGUACACCUGGUGUCCAGAGAUGAAACGGUGACACCACGGCGAGGAAUCUUUGUGCACUGUGGACCAGGAACUGAAGCCCCUGUACACAGGGUACAGGUGCCAAGUACACAUAAAGUAAAAUUGCAUGAACACAGGAGAUAUUGGUUCCUCAUGUGGUGCCAUGCAGCUGCGCUUGGGUGGGAGAGAUGAUGCUAACGUGACAAUCUCGCUUAGUAACACUGGCACUAAUGACAGUUCAUGGAAGUGAGGCCCUGAGCUGAUGUACCCUGCAGUGAAGUGGGUUUGCUGAAGUACAGCAGGUCAUGGCACUUUCAACCCACAUCUAGCAGCUGGCACAAACUGGCGUACAUCAGAUUGGAGUGGGCAAGGACCAGCUUCCCAUGGAGAAAUGACAAACAAAUAUUAUAGUGGAUGACGUAUCGGCAGGGGAAGUGCAAGACUAUCCAUACCCAAGAUCAGAGAUGCAGAAAUUGCAUUUCUAGUAAAUGUUAUCCCUGGGUGUGGAGGCCCAGGACAUCUGCAAGGAGAAGCCAGUAUGUAUUAAAAGCACAUUUUUGUUUUAAUAUAGCUGAAUUGGCAAAUUGUUUUGCAUGGUAGCUGUCAUUAUGACCAUGUUAGUGUAAUAAAUUGUAUGAUUGCACUGAUUAACAAAGGUGCAACUGUACAAUUUAGUACUGACUUGCCUUAUUACACUAAGGUAAGUCAGUGCUACAUUGUACAGUUGCAUCUUUGUUAAUCACAAUUUAUUACACUAACAUAGUCAAAAUGCCAGCUACCAAGUAAAACAAUUUGCCAAUUCAGCUAUAUUAAAACAAAUGUGCUUUUAAUACAUACU
rnacentral:lncRNA from 1 species